rnacentral:rRNA from 1 species
UGGGGAAUCUUCCGCAAUGGACGAAAGUCUGACGGAGCAACGCCGCGUGAGUGAAGACGGCCUUCGGGUUGUAAAGCUCUGUGAUCCGGGACGAAAGAGCCUGAGGUGAAUAGCCUAAGGAAGUGGCGGUACCGGAAAAGCAAGCCACGGCUAACUACGUGCCAGCAGCCGCGGUAAUACGUAGGUGGCAAGCGUUGUCCGGAAUUAUUGGGCGUAAAGCGCGCGCAGGCGGCUUCCUAAGUCCAUCUUAAAAGUGCGGGGCUUAACCCCGUGAUGGGAUGGAAACUGGGAAGCUGGAGUAUCGGAGAGGAAAGUGGAAUUCCUAGUGUAGCGGUGAAAUGCGUAGAGAUUAGGAAGAACACCGGUGGCGGAGGCGACUUUCUGGACGAAAACUGACGCUGAGGCGCGAAAGCGUGGGGAGCAAACAGG